AGGGCACCACCAGGAGUGGAGCCUGCGGCUUAAUUUGACUCAACACGGGGAAACUCACCCGGCCAGGACACAAUAAGGAUUGACAGAUUGAUAGCUCUUUCUUGAUUUUGUGGGUGGUGGUGCAUGGCCGUUCUUAGUUGGUGGAGCGAUUUGUCUGGUUAAUUCCGAUAACGAACGAGACUCUAGCCUAUUAAAUAGACGAUAUAUUAUUAGUUUAUCGAGCUUCUUAGAGGGACAGGCAGCUUCUAGCUGCACGAGAUUGAGCAAUAACAGGUCUGUGAUGCCCUUAGAUGUCCGGGGCUGCACGCGCGCUACAAUGAUAAUAGCAGCGUGCAUUAAAACCUUUUCUGGUAAGAAUUGGUAAACACGAAAUAUUGUCGUGCUUGGGAUAGGGGAUUGAAAUUAUUGCCCUUAAACGAGGAAUUCCCAGUAAGUGCGAGUCAUUAGCUUGCGUUGAUUACGUCCCUGCCCUUUGUACACACCGCCCGUCGCUACUACCGAUUGGAUGACUUAGUGAGG
rnacentral:rRNA from 1 species